CGUGGGCCCCCCUAUUGNGAUUGUUCCGAGAAGGGGGUUUCACGUUUUUAAACAGACACCAUUUUUUCAAAUGCAUGUGUAGAAUGUCUUACUUUUUGCGAUCACGCNAAAUCAAUACAACUUUCAACAACGGAUCUCUUGGCUCUCGCAUCGAUGAAUAACGCAACGAAAUGCGAUACGUAAUGUGAAUUGCANAAUUCAGUGAAUCAUCNAAUCUUUGAACGCACCUUGCGCCCCUUGGUAUUCCGAGGGGCACACCCGUUUGAGUGUCGUGAACACCCUCAACCUUCUUGGUUUUUCUACCGGGAAGGCUUGGACUUUGGAGGUUUUCCUUGCUGGCCUCCCUUUGAAGCCAGCUCCUCCUAAAUGAAUUAGUGGGGUCCACUUUGCCGAUCCUUGACNUGAUAAGUAUGCUUCUACGUCUUGGGUCUGCACUGUUGCCCUGGAACCCGCUUCCAACGGUCUUCGACUGAAGACGAUGUUCGAGUCGCGUCNCGACUUCGACCUCAGCGACCUUGACCUCAAAUCGGGUGAGACUACCCGCUGAACUUAAGCAUAU
rnacentral:rRNA from 1 species